UACGAAGGGGGCUAGCGUUGCUCGGAAUUACUGGGCGUAAAGCGCACGUAGGCGGCUUUCUAAGUCGGGGGUGAAAUCCUGGAGCUCAACUCCAGAACUGCCUUCGAUACUGGAGAGCUCGAGUCCGGGAGAGGUGAGUGGAACUGCGAGUGUAGAGGUGAAAUUCGUAGAUAUUCGCAAGAACACCAGUGGCGAAGGCGGCUCACUGGCUCGUAACUGACGCUCAUGCACGACAGCGUGGGGAUCAAACAGG
rnacentral:rRNA from 1 species